GAAAUCGGAGUAGCCCUCGCGUUUUAGCAGUUUGUAUAUCAGAACGGAAUGGAAAGUCCGGCCACAGCGGGUGAUAGCCCCGUAUGAGAAAUGCAGAUUGUGGAACUAGGCGCGAAUAGAGUAGGGCGGGACACGUGAAAUCCUGUCUGAAUAUGGGGGGACCAUCCUCCAAGGCUAAAUACUCCUGACUGACCGAUAGUGAACCAGUACCGUGAGGGAAAGGCGAAAAGAACCCCUGUGAGGGGAGUGAAAUAGAACCUGAAACCGUGUACGUACAAGCAGUAGGAGCCCA
rnacentral:rRNA from 1 species